rnacentral:rRNA from 1 species
UUAAGCGACUAAGCGUACACGGUGGAUGCCCUGGCAGUCAGAGGCGAUGAAGGACGUGCUAAUCUGCGAUAAGCGUCGGUAAGGUGAUAUGAACCGUUAUAACCGGCGAUUUCCGAAUGGGGAAACCCAGUGUGAUUCGUCACACUAUCAUUAACUGAAUCCAUAGGUUAAUGAGGCGAACCGGGGGAACUGAAACAUCUAAGUACCCCGAGGAAAAGAAAUCAACCGAGAUUCCCCCAGUAGCGGCGAGCGAACGGGGAGCAGCCCAGAGCCUGAAUCAGUGUGUGUGUUAGUGGAAGCGUCUGGAAAGGCGUGCGAUACAGGGUGACAGCCCCGUACACAAAAAUGCACAUACUGUGAGCUCGAUGAGUAGGGCGGGACACGUGGUAUCCUGUCUGAAUAUGGGGGACCAUCCUCCAAGGCUAAAUACUCCUGACUGACCGAUAGUGAACCAGUACCGUGAGGGAAAGGCGAAAAGAACCCCGGCGAGGGGAGUGAAAAAGAACCUGAAACCGUGUACGUACAAGCAGUGGGAGCACGCUUAGGCGUGUGACUGCGUACCUUUUGUAUAAUGGGUCAGCGACUUAUAUUCUGUAGCAAGGUUAACCGAAUAGGGGAGCCGAAGGGAAACCGAGUCUUAACUGGGCGUUAAGUUGCAGGGUAUAGACCCGAAACCCGGUGAUCUAGCCAUGGGCAGGUUGAAGGUUGGGUAACACUAACUGGAGGACCGAACCGACUAAUGUUGAAAAAUUAGCGGAUGACUUGUGGCUGGGGGUGAAAGGCCAAUCAAACCGGGAGAUAGCUGGUUCUCCCCGAAAGCUAUUUAGGUAGCGCCUCGUGAAUUCAUCUCCGGGGGUAGAGCACUGUUUCGGCAAGGGGGUCAUCCCGACUUACCAACCCGAUGCAAACUGCGAAUACCGGAGAAUGUUAUCACGGGAGACACACGGCGGGUGCUAACGUCCGUCGUGAAGAGGGAAACAACCCAGACCGCCAGCUAAGGUCCCAAAGUCAUGGUUAAGCGGGAAACGAUGUGGGAAGGCCCAGACAGCCAGGAUGUUGGCUUAGAAGCAGCCAUCAUUUAAAGAAAGCGUAAUAGCUCACUGGUCGAGUCGGCCUGCGCGGAAGAUGUAACGGGGCUAAACCAUGCACCGAAGCUGCGGCAGCGACGCUUAUGCGUUGUUGGGUAGGGGAGCGUUCUGUAAGCCUGUGAAGGUGUGCUGUGAGGUAUGCUGGAGGUAUCAGAAGUGCGAAUGCUGACAUAAGUAACGAUAAAGCGGGUGAAAAGCCCGCUCGCCGGAAGACCAAGGGUUCCUGUCCAACGUUAAUCGGGGCAGGGUGAGUCGACCCCUAAGGCGAGGCCGAAAGGCGUAGUCGAUGGGAAACAGGUUAAUAUUCCUGUACUUGGUGUUACUGCGAAGGGGGGACGGAGAAGGCUAUGUUGGCCGGGCGACGGUUGUCCCGGUUUAAGCGUGUAGGCUGGUUUUCCAGGCAAAUCCGGAAAAUCAAGGCCGAGGCGUGAUGACGAGGCACUACGGUGCUGAAGCAACAAAUGCCCUGCUUCCAGGAAAAGCCUCUAAGCAUCAGGUAACAUCAAAUCGUACCCCAAACCGACACAGGUGGUCAGGUAGAGAAUACCAAGGCGCUUGAGAGAACUCGGGUGAAGGAACUAGGCAAAAUGGUGCCGUAACUUCGGGAGAAGGCACGCUGAUACGUAGGUGAAGCGACUUGCUCGUGGAGCUGAAAUCAGUCGAAGAUACCAGCUGGCUGCAACUGUUUAUUAAAAACACAGCACUGUGCAAACACGAAAGUGGACGUAUACGGUGUGACGCCUGCCCGGUGCCGGAAGGUUAAUUGAUGGGGUUAGCGCAAGCGAAGCUCUUGAUCGAAGCCCCGGUAAACGGCGGCCGUAACUAUAACGGUCCUAAGGUAGCGAAAUUCCUUGUCGGGUAAGUUCCGACCUGCACGAAUGGCGUAAUGAUGGCCAGGCUGUCUCCACCCGAGACUCAGUGAAAUUGAACUCGCUGUGAAGAUGCAGUGUACCCGCGGCAAGACGGAAAGACCCCGUGAACCUUUACUAUAGCUUGACACUGAACAUUGAGCCUUGAUGUGUAGGAUAGGUGGGAGGCUUUGAAGUGUGGACGCCAGUCUGCAUGGAGCCGACCUUGAAAUACCACCCUUUAAUGUUUGAUGUUCUAACGUGGACCCGUGAUCCGGGUUGCGGACAGUGUCUGGUGGGUAGUUUGACUGGGGCGGUCUCCUCCUAAAGAGUAACGGAGGAGCACGAAGGUUGGCUAAUCCUGGUCGGACAUCAGGAGGUUAGUGCAAUGGCAUAAGCCAGCUUGACUGCGAGCGUGACGGCGCGAGCAGGUGCGAAAGCAGGUCAUAGUGAUCCGGUGGUUCUGAAUGGAAGGGCCAUCGCUCAACGGAUAAAAGGUACUCCGGGGAUAACAGGCUGAUACCGCCCAAGAGUUCAUAUCGACGGCGGUGUUUGGCACCUCGAUGUCGGCUCAUCACAUCCUGGGGCUGAAGUAGGUCCCAAGGGUAUGGCUGUUCGCCAUUUAAAGUGGUACGCGAGCUGGGUUUAGAACGUCGUGAGACAGUUCGGUCCCUAUCUGCCGUGGGCGCUGGAGAACUGAGGGGGGCUGCUCCUAGUACGAGAGGACCGGAGUGGACGCAUCACUGGUGUUCGGGUUGUCAUGCCAAUGGCACUGCCCGGUAGCUAAAUGCGGAAGAGAUAAGUGCUGAAAGCAUCUAAGCACGAAACUUGCCCCGAGAUGAGUUCUCCCUGACCCUUUAAGGGUCCUGAAGGAACGUUGAAGACGACGACGUUGAUAGGCCGGGUGUGUAAGCGCAGCGAUGCGUUGAGCUAACCGGUACUAAUGAACCGUGAGGCUUAACCUU